GCUAAACUAUACACCGAAGCUUGGGAUACAUCUAAUGUAUGGUAGGAGAGCGUUGUAUACGGGGUGAAGUCAGAGCGGAAGCGCUGGUGGACUUUAUUCGAGUGAGAAUGCCGGAAUGAGUAGCGAGAAUUAUGUGAGAAUCAUAAUGGCCGAAAAUCUAAGGUUUCCUGAGGAAGGUUCGUCCGCUCAGGGUAAGCCGGGGGCUAAGGCGAGGCGGAGACGCGUAGCCGAUGCACAUACGGUUGAAAUUCCGUAGCCACCGAAAGAUUUAAGUACAGGGACGCUUUAGAAGUGAUGUUGCCGGGCGAUGGUUGACCCGGUCGUAAGGGAUCGAAAAUGAGUAGAGAAGUCAUCAUGGAAAGAGACAAGAAAAGCUGUAUGAAUAUCUUAGGUGCCCGUACCGCAAACCGACACAGGUAGAUAGGAAGAAGAUUCUAAGGCCAACGGGAGAAGGGUUGUUAAGGAACUCGGCAAGUUGACCCCGUAACUUAGGGAUAAGGGGUGCUCAAGUGAUUGAGCCGCAGAGAAUAGGCCCAGGCGACUGUUUAGCAAAAACACAGGUCUCUGCUAAAUCGAAAGAUGACGUAUAGGGGCUGACACCUGCCCGGUGCCGGAAGGUUAAGAGGAGAUGUGAGAGCAUUGAAUUGAAGCCCCGGUAAACGGCGGCCGUAACUAUAACGGUCCUAAGGUAGCGAAAUUCCUUGUCAGGUAAGUUCUGACCCGCAUGAAAGGCGUAAUGAUUUGGGCACUGUCUCAACAGCCCGCCCGGCGAAAUUGUAGUACCGGUGAAGAUGCCGGUUACCCGCGACAAGACGGAAAGACCCCAUGGAGCUUUACUGUAGCCUAAUAUUGGGUUUCGAUGUUGCAUGCACAGGAUAGAUGGGACACUGGGAAACAAUCGCUUUGGCGGUUGCGGAGUGGCCGUUGGGAUACCAUCCUUGCGAUAUUGGAAUUCUAACCUGCGCCUUUGAAUCAAGGCGGGGGACAUUGUUAGGUGGGCAGUUUGACUGGGGCGGUCGCCUCCUAAAGAGUAACGGAGGCGCUCAAAGGUUCGCUCUGCAUGGAUGGAAACCAUGCGUCAGAGUGUAAACGCAAAAGCGAGCCUAACUGCGAGAAUGACGGUUCGAGCAGUAACGAAAGUUGGAGUUAGUGAUCCGGCGGUAUGUGAAUGGAAAUGCCGUCGCUCAACGGAUAAAAGCUACCCUGGGGAUAACAGGCUGAUCUCCCCCAAGAGUCCACAUCGACGGGGAGGUUUGGCACCUCGAUGUCGGCUCAUCGCAUCCUGGGGCUGUAUUCGGUCCCAAGGGUUUGGCUGUUCGCCAAUUAAAGCGGUACGCGAGCUGGGUUCAGAACGUCGUGAGACAGUUCGGUCCCUAUCUGUCGUGGGCGCAGGAUAUUUGAGGAGCUCUGUCCUUAGUACGAGAGGACCGGGAUGGACGUACCUCUGGUGCACCAGUUGUCAUGCCAAUGGCACGGCUGGGCAGCUAUGUACGGAACGGAUAAACGCUGAAAGCAUCUAAGCGUGAAGCCGACUCCAAGAUUAGAUAUCCCAUCGUAUAACGAGUAAGACCCCUUGAAGACUACGAGGUUGAUAGGCUGCGUGUGUAAGUGCCGUGAGGCAUUCAGCUUGGCAGUACUAAUAGGUCGAGGGCUUGACCA
rnacentral:rRNA from 1 species